AAAUUGAAGAGUUUGAUCAUGGCUCAGAUUGAACGCUGGCGGCAGGCCUAACACAUGCAAGUCGAACGGUAACAGGAAACAGCUUGCUGUUUCGCUGACGAGUGGCGGACGGG
rnacentral:rRNA from 2 species